rnacentral:rRNA from 1 species
AGCGAACGCUGGCGGCGUGCUUAACACAUGCAAGUCGAACGUGAAAUGGAGCAAUCCAAAGUAAAGUGGCGUACGGGUGAGUAACGCGUAGGUAAUCUACCUCAAAAUCCGGAAUAACCUGCCGAAAGGCGGGCUAAUACUAGAUAGAGCGACGAAAUCCGUAAUAGGAUUUUUCGGGAAAGGGAGGGAGCAAUCCCCUUCGUUUUGAGAUGAGCCUGCGUCUCAUUAGCUAGUUGGUGGGGUAAUGGCCUACCAAGGCUUUGAUGGGUAGCUGGUCUGAGAGGAUGAUCAGCCACACUGGAACUGAAACACGGUCCAGACUCCUACGGGAGGCAGCAGUGGGGAAUCUUGCGCAAUGGACGAAAGUCUGACGCAGCAACGCCGCGUGAGUGAAGAAGGCCUUCGGGUUGUAAAGCUCUGUCGCCCGGGACGAAAAGCAUAAGGGUUAAUAGCCCUGAUGCCUGACGGUACCGGGAGAGGAAGCACCGGCUAACUCCGUGCCAGCAGCCGCCGUAACAC